GACGAACGCUGGCGGCGUGCCUAAUACAUGCAAGUCGAACGCAGUGGGGACGGGUGAGUGACACGUGGGUAACCUGCCAUCAGAGUGGAUAACACUUGGAAACAGGUGCUAAACCGCUACUGAUGGAUGGACCCGCGGGGCAUUAGCUAGUGGGUGGGGUAACGGCUCACCAAGGCUACGAUGCAUAGCCGGUCUGAGAGGGUGACCUGCCAACCUGGGACUGAGACACGGCCCAGACUCCUACGGGAGGCAGCAGUAGGGAAUCUUGGGCAAUGGACGAAAGCCUGACCGAGCAACGCCGCGUGAGUGAAGAAGGUUUUCGGAUUGUAAAGUUCUUUUGUUAGAGAAGCGGUAUCUAAACAAAAAGCCACGGCUAACUACGUGCCAGCAGCCGCGGUAAUAC
rnacentral:rRNA from 1 species